AUACGAAGGGGGCUAGCGUUGCUCGGAAUGACUGGGCGUAAAGGGCGUGUAGGCGGUUUUGACAGUCAGAUGUGAAAUCCCCGGGCUUAACCUGGGAGCUGCAUUUGAGACGUUAAGACUAGAGUGUGAGAGAGGGUUGUGGAAUUCCCAGUGUAGAGGUGAAACUCGUAGAUAUUGGGAAGAACACCGGUGGCGAAGGCGGCAACCUGGCUCAUUACUGACGCUGAGGCGACGAAAGCGGUGGGGAGAC
rnacentral:rRNA from 1 species